UCUAGAAACAGAGAAAGUUGUUUUGUAUAUCUACUAUUGAAGUAGGAUUUGGGGAGAGUUUUUAUUUAUUUCUGUAAGAAAUAUACUGCUGAAAAAUGAGAUCGUAAGAGCA